UGUCAAUCACUGCUUCCCUCUUCAUACGGAUCAAAUCGUGCAAACUCAGUUAUUUACCCACUUGUUUUGCAUUGAAGUUUUCUAGAAGUUUCCAGCCAUGACUGCUUUGUGAUUGUUCUGUUGCCUGGGAGGAACUAUGUGAAGAGAUUGGAUAUAGUUUGCCUUUAGAUGACCACAUGUUUCCUCAUUUGAGUACCAGGAAACUGGUGGUGAUACUCGGUGAGGCAGGUCUCAGUGCUCCUGGACUUAAUGCCCAAAUGAUCUGGGCAGGUAACACAGAGAAUGAAACAGCCCCGGGACAGACCCUAGACAGUGCAAUAAAACUGAUUCUGCGUCAGCUGAGGAGAACAACAUUCCAGUAGAUAGCUAACAGAUAGUUGUUUUACAGCUCUGAAUCAGAUGCUGCUUUAUCUCUCACUAUUACCAUCUCUUCUCCCUUCUGACAAUACAUCACAGAGUAUGAUGGCAGUGUUUCUCCUUCCCUACAGAUUCUGCACUCGCCAUCAGGAGUCUAGCACACAGCCCUCUUGCUAUCACUUGCAACAUCUCACUGGAUAUGUUCUGAAGGACUCACCCCAAAGGCCUUCGGCUUUACAGUCUGUUCUGAACUCUCAACGCAAACAUUUUCAAUACAUUCUCAUUUUUCGAUAUGGUCAUGUCUUCCUGUCACGGGGAGAUUCUAUGCACUGUGAUGCAUUAUAGGUGGUCUGCCCA
rnacentral:lncRNA from 1 species